GCGGGCGCGGGCAUGUGCGUCGCGGCGCUGCCCUCGAAGGCCGCGGCUCCCCGCCACGCGCCGGCCGGCGGCGAGGGCCGGGACCGGGACCCGGGACCCGGCUAGGGAUGUGGCAGUCGGGGCUGCACCGCAGCCGACAGCGUGGGAACACGUACGAUUUCGCUGGUGUCUCCUUGAAUUCCUAACUCUGCCACUAUGGAUCCCUGUAAGAACUUAAAAAAAAAAAAGCUAAAAUAAAUGCAUUUACAAGAACA